UCUUGAGCUGUGAGGUGGCAACGUUACCUCUGCACCAAUGUGCUACCCUGCCCAACUGUAUAGUAUCACUUUCACCAAAAUAUUCCUCACCUGUGCUAUAAUGUGAUCAGUUGUGUUUGUCAGGGCAUGUGCCAUGCUGCCACUUCAGGCAAAAGCCUAUUGUGUGACGCACUAUAAAAUUUACAUUACAACCAACAGGCAACACCACACAAAAGCCAUGACCCUCAUACACGCUAACUAAAUAGUCACCCUUUCAACACUCAUUAUAUAGACGAAAAAUGGGUAGCACAUGCUGUUUAAGAUUUCUGAAGGACAGUUUGAUACACAAUCAAAUCUCUGCAUAACUACAGUACACCAAUAACCGGAGUCCAAAUAAUUUCAAUGAUUGAAUGUAGCUAUUUGACAGACAAACCACAUGUCAGCUCCCACAACCAAAUAUUGUACAUCAUUACCUCUCACUACGCACCACAUCAAUGCACAAACACACCAAUAGUUUUGGCACUUUAAGCAUUUGCUAUUUUUUGUAGUAGUACUCAUUAAACUUCAACAGAACUGUUUCUGGGAGCCAACCCAACCAAACUCUGAGCUUUUGUGAAAGCACGUGACUUACUUUUGUCUGUUUAAAUAAAAUGGGAUUGCUUUAACCGAGUUGAGGAUGUUGCCGAUUUUUCUGCACCCUCAUCUGAAGAAAAUUAUUCAUAAGCACACCAUCUAAUGGAAAACAUAUAAAAGUAUGAUUCAAUACUGCAAUUUUUCUCAGCGCUGGAUUAAAGGAAUGUUGCAGCCUGUAGCCCAUGAUAAAUAACCCAGAUUGUGGAGUCUGGAAGUACUGAAAGUAAUUGUUACUGGGUUUCGGAUCAUCCUCCAAGUUUUCCGGUAAUCAUAUCCAACAUACCUCAAGGCUUCUGCAUCUGUGAAUGCAAAUAAGAGGAUUUCCAAGCUUUUAUCCCAAUUUUGGCCCAUUUAUACAAUUUAUCCCAGUUCCAGAAUGACAAUGUCUCUGUGCACAAAGCGAGCUCCAUGAAGACAUGGUUUGCCAACGUUGGAGUGGAACAACUUGAGUAGCCUGAACAGAACUCUGACCUCAACCCUACUGAACACCUUUAGGUUGAACUGGAACCCAACAUCAGCGCCUGACCUCGCAAAUGCUCUUGUGUCUGAAUGAAUACAAAUCCUCACAGCCCUGCUCUAAAAUCUAGUGGAAACCUUCACAGAAGAGUGAAGGUUAUUAUGACAGCUAAGGUGGACUACAUCUGGAAUGGGAUGUUCAAAAAGUACAUAUGGGUGUGAUGGUUAGGUGUCCACAAACAAUUUGGCUAGAUAGUGUAGAUUUGCUGUGACCCAACAAUUUCUGUGAUAUGAGACUCCUGAGCUCCCACCGGUUUCCACCCCCUAUUAAUUUCCAUGUUUCUACUGUCCAAUAGCAGUGGAGGGCAGGGAGUGACUUUUCCAAAAUGUCAUGCUCUUUAUCCAAAGUGUCUUUCCAAAAAUACAAAGGCAGUGGAAGUGUAUUUGGAUUAGAAUUAUAAAAGGGCCUUUAGUUUCAGCUUCAGAUGCUCCACCCAUGGACCACAGCAUAUCCGAUAACUUUAGCACAGUUUUCUGGCCACAACCUUCAGAAUGUUGAAGCUUACAAUCUGAUUGGCUUUCUCAACUUCCAUGUGUAUGCAUUUUCAUGCACUGGUUUUCAACUGGAAAAGAAAUCACACAAUGAAAAAUUGAACACGAUAAGCUUUUUGGAGUGGGUUAAUGGAAACAUAUGUUUAAAAGUUAUUAAAUAGGAAGGAAACAUUGAGAAAACAGUGAUGACACAUGAUCGUCUUGCAUGUUUGCUGACAGGUUAUGGAAAAAUGUCUGUGGUUUUUCAUUUGCCAUGUUUUUGGCUCAGUUUAAUGACAAAAGGUACCAGUCUAUCUAGCAAAUGUUAGAAGCCUGGUGUGUGUCUCUGGGAUGGCUGUGUAAGGUCUUGAGCUCAGUGUGCCUGAACUGGAGAGAGGACAAGCCUUGGGUCAAUCCUGUUUAAUGCACUCCUGACAGGCCUCAGCUGUUCAAGGAUUUAGUUAGCAAAGACAGCCAGAUGUUGCCAGAUGUUAAUUACAUCCCUUUCUCUGGCAGUGAUGCUUGUUGAGGCACCUCUGUCCUUUAUGUAUGUCACAUCCUAGGUCCCUAUUCUGCAGUAAAACAAUGCUGACCUCUGCUUUUCUGUGUUUUACUAGUUUAGUUGUGGCUCUCUCAGGUUACAGCAGGUGCACACUUCACUCAUGAUUAUUAUUUGACAAAACAGAAAUACAUUUAAUAAACCUUCCAACUUUAGGCUUUUGCAGAGAAUGUCAGGUUUAAUGUAUCACCACAAUAGUAUGCAUCAAUAACCUUUUUUUUCUAUUUAAUACUAUUCCAUUUGAAAAUGUUUCCAUAAUAAAUUAAAUGUCAAAUUUACAGUAAUGUACCAACAGCAGAGUUGCCAGAAAUGCACUGUUAAUUUACAGUAUACAAUUGUAAAGUACUGUCAUAUAUUUACAUGUUAUUACUUUUAUCAUUGUAUAUUACCUGUAAUAUUCUGUCAAUUUUAAAGCUGAAUACAUUUACAGUAAAUACUCUCCCUCAAUCACUCACUUUCAGUAACUACUUUAUCCUGAUCAGCAUCAUGGUGGAUCCAGAACCUAUCCUGGGAGUGAGGUCAGAGGAAACUGGAAAACCCAGGGGAACCCAAGCAUGGAGAGAACAUGCAAAACUCCACAUAGAUAGUAACAUGAACUCAGGAUUGAAAGCAGGGAUCAUCAAGCUGUGAGACCACAACUCUACCUGCAGUGACACUGUGCCACCUACCUGAAAAGGCUUGAAAAUACAUGGGUCAUGGGAAGCCUGGAGCGUAUCCCAGGGGGACUCGGAGCACAGGGGACAGCCUGGGGACAGCCUGGACGGGGUGCCAACCCAUCGCAGGGCACAAUAACACAUUACGUAGAAUUUAGAGAUGUCAAGCAGCAUACAACGCAUGUCUUUGGACUGGGUGAGAAAACCGGAGUACCCAGAGGAAGCCCACAAAGCACAGGGAGAACAUAUAAACUCUGCGCACACAGGAUGGAUUUGUGAGGUGAACGGGUUAACCACUAAGCCACCAUGGUAAAACAUCAUAAAUAAUAUUAUUUAGUGGGUCUUCAAAAAUUUAAAGCCCUUUUAGAUAUCAGACAUUUAACUUUAACUAGUCAAUUAUGAAUAAAAUAGUGAUGUAACCAAAUAAGAAGAAAUUAUUCAGAAUGACUAGAUCAUUCAUACUAAAAAAAAAACCAACAAAUAAAGUUAUUAAGAAAAAUGCACCAUUGUUUCGGGGUUUUUUGUUUUGUUUGUUGGUUUGUUUGUUUAGAAAGCUUGCCGAAAAGGUUCAGUGGGUGUCGGGACAGGGGUGCAACAAAAAUUCUCAGUAAGCGGGAGGUCAGAUAUAAAGCUCACAAGACAAACAAAUGCAUGUAUAGUGUUCCUUCAUUCAUCUUUAGUAAUUGCCUGAUCAGGUUAAAUUGGGAUAAUACUUUGUUUAUAUUUUAGCAAAUGGAAACAAGUACAAUUGUUAGAAUAUAUUACAGGCAUGUAAGACCAAAAAAAAACUGCAUAAAUGGAAUUAUUAAAAAAACAAUAAUAGGCUACCGCCUUAGAUUUAUUACUCAAGAGUAUGGCUGUAGCAGGCCAAUCUACACUAUUUGGCCAAAAGUUUGUAGACACAUGA